rnacentral:rRNA from 1 species
AGUGAACGCUGGCGGUAGGCCUAACACGUGCAAGUCGAACGGCAGCACAGUAAGAGCUUGCUCUUACGGGUGGCGAGUGGCGGACGGGUGAGGAAUACAUCGGAAUCUACUUUUUCGUGGGGGAUAACGUAGGGAAACUUACGCUAAUACCGCAUACGACCUACGGGUGAAAGCAGGGGAUCUUCGGACCUUGCGCGAUUGAAUGAGCCGAUGUCGGAUUAGCUAGUUGGCGGGGUAAAGGCCCACCAAGGCGACGAUCCGUAGCUGGUCUGAGAGGAUGAUCAGCCACACUGGAACUGAGACACGGUCCAGGCUCCUACGGGAGGCAGCAGUGGGGAAUAUUGGACAAUGGGCGCAAGCCUGAUCCAGCCAUACCGCGUGGGUGAAGAAGGCCUUCGGGUUGUAAAGCCCUUUUGUUGGGAAAGAAAAGCAGCAGGUUAAUACCCCGCUGUUCUGACGGUACCCAAAGAAUAAGCACCGGCUAACUUCGUG